rnacentral:rRNA from 1 species
CAGGACGAACGCUGGCGGCGUGCCUAAUACAUGCAAGUCGAACGGUCUUUCUAUGGAAGCUUGCUUCCACUGAGAAGAUAGUGGCGAACGGGUGAGUAACACGUGGGUAACCUGCCCAUAAGAGGGGGGAUAACAUCCGGAAACGGGUGCUAAUACCGCAUAGUUUUCUUGAUCGCAUGAUUGAGAAAGGAAAGACGGCCUUUGUGCUGUCGCUUAUGGAUGGACCCGCGGCGUAUUAGUUAGUUGGUGAGGUAACGGCUCACCAAGACGAUGAUACGUAGCCGACCUGAGAGGGUGAUCGGCCACAUUGGGACUGAGACACGGCCCAAACUCCUACGGGAGGCAGCAGUAGGGAAUCUUCCGCAAUGGACGAAAGUCUGACGGAGCAACGCCGCGUGAGUGAAAGAAGGUUUUCGGAUCGUAAAACUCUGUUGUCAGAGAAGAACAAGUUGGAGAGUAACUGCUCCAGCCUUGACGGUAUCUGACCAGAAAGCCACGGCUAACUACGUGCCAGCCGCCGC